rnacentral:ncRNA from 1 species
ACAGAUCUCUGGAGAGCCCCGUGAUCGGGCGCCGAAGGUGACAAGGCAGGAGCCGAAAUCUCUCAGGCAAAAGGACAGAGCUGG